UAUAGAUACAAAGGCUGGUAGUGUUACAGAGGAUACUGUAUGUUCAUUAGUCCUUAUAGAGUGUAUCUGUUUUCUCAAUCGCCAAGCCCCAAAAUUCCCUAACAUGGAUUUUGUACUGUUUGAAAAUUAUGCGAGACAAUACAUGUUCACAUCA